UUGUGUCUUCGAGUCGUUGAUUUCACACUGCCGAGAAAAGCCUCUAGAUAGAAAAUAGGUGCCCGUACCGCAAACCGACACAGGUAGUCAAGAUGAGAAUUCUAAGGUGAGCGAGCGAACUCUCGUUAAGGAACUCGGCAAAAUGACCCCGUAACUUCGGGAGAAGGGGUGCUCUUUAGGGUUAACGCCCAGAAGAGCCGCAGUGAAUAGGCCCAAGCGACUGUUUAUCAAAAACACAGGUCUCUGCUAAACCGUAAGGUGAUGUAUAGGGGCUGACGCCUGCCCGGUGCUGGAAGGUUAAGAGGAGUGGUUAGCUUCUGCGAAGCUACGAAUCGAAGCCCCAGUAAACGGCGGCCGUAACUAUAACGGUCCUAAGGUAGCGAAAUUCCUUGUCGGGUAAGUUCCGACCCGCACGAAAGGCGUAACGAUUUGGGCACUGUCUCAACGAGAGACUCGGUGAAAUCAUAGUACCUGUGAAGAUGCAGGUUACCCGCGACAGGACGGAAAGACCCCGUGGAGCUUUACUGUAGCCUGAUAUUGAAAUUCGGCACAGCUUGUACAGGAUAGGUA
rnacentral:rRNA from 1 species